rnacentral:rRNA from 1 species
UGCUGUGAACUCGAAGAGUAGGGCGGGACACGUGGUAUCCUGUCUGAAUAUGGGGGGACCAUCCUCCAAGGCUAAAUACUCCUGACUGACCGAUAGUGAACCAGUACCGUGAGGGAAAGGCGAAAAGAACCCCGGCGAGGGGAGUGAAAAAGAACCUGAAACCGUGUACGUACAAGCAGUGGGAGCCUCUUUAUGGGGUGACUGCGUACCUUUUGUAUAAUGGGUCAGCGACUUAUAUUCUGUAGCAAGGUUAACCGUAUAGGGGAGCCGAAGGGAAACCGAGUCUUAACUGGGCGUUAAGUUGCAGGGUAUAGACCCGAAACCCGGUGAUCUAGCCAUGGGCAGGUUGAAGGUUGGGUAACACUAACUGGAGGACCGAACCGACUAAUGUUGAAAAAUUAGCGGAUGACCUGUGGCUGGGGGUGAAAGGCCAAUCAAACCGGGAGAUAGCUGGUUCUCCCCGAAAGCUAUUUAGGUAGCGCCUCGUGAACUCAUCUUCGGGGGUAGAGCACUGUUUCGGCUAGGGGGCCAUCCCGGCUUACCAACCCGAUGCAAACUACGAAUACCGAAGAAUGUUAUCACGGGAGACACACGGCGGGUGCUAACGUCCGUCGUGAAGAGGGAAACAACCCAGACCGCCAGCUAAGGUCCCAAAGUCAUGGUUAAGUGGGAAACGAUGUGGGAAGGCACAGACAGCCAGGAUGUUGGCUUAGAAGCAGCCAUCAUUUAAAGAAAGCGUAAUAGCUCACUGGUCGAGUCGGCCUGCGCGGAAGAUGUAACGGGGCUAAACCAUGCACCGAAGCUGCGGCAGCGACACUAUGUGUUGUUGGGUAGGGGAGCGUUCUGUAAGCCGUUGAAGGUGUGCUGUGAGGCAUGCUGGAGGUAUCAGAAGUGCGAAUGCUGACAUAAGUAACGAUAAAGCGGGUGAAAAGCCCGCUCGCCGGAAGACCAAGGGUUCCUGUCCAACGUUAAUCGGGGCAGGGUGAGUCGACCCCUAAGGCGAGGCCGAAAGGCGUAGUCGAUGGGAAACAGGUUAAUAUUCCUGUACUUGGUGUUACUGCGAAGGGGGGACGGAGAAGGCUAUGUCAGCCGGGCGACGGUUGUCCCGGUUUAAGCAUGUAGGCGGAGGUUCCAGGUAAAUCCGGUACCUUAUUAACGCUGAGGUGUGAUGACGAGGCACUACGGUGCUGAAGUGAUAAAUGCCCUGCUUCCAGGAAAAGCCUCUAAGCAUCAGGUAACACGAAAUCGUACCCCAAACCGACACAGGUGGUCAGGUAGAGAAUACCAAGGCGCUUGAGAGAACUCGGGUGAAGGAACUAGGCAAAAUGGUGCCGUAACUUCGGGAGAAGGCACGCUGAUAUGUAGGUGAAGCCCCUGCGGGCGGAGCUGAAAUCAGUCGAAGAUACCAGCUGGCUGCAACUGUUUAUUAAAAACACAGCACUGUGCAAACACGAAAGUG